CAGGACUACAUGUGUGAGAGGCCUGAGACAAACUUACCACAUUCCCCUGUGCCCAGCACAGCGCUGGUCAGGGCACACGAGGGGUGCACAGAAGUGAUGCAAGGCCUCAGCCCACCUCAUGGCGCUUCCAAUGGUCCAGAGUGUCAAUGAAGAAGCCUUGUCCGCAUUGAUGAGGGACAACCCAGGACACCUCUGACACCCAGUGUGUGUGGGUUUUCCUUCCACCAACAACCAGUUCUCCAGUACUCCAGACACAAGCUAGAAGUCCUUCAAUUUAGUUCACUUCUGACACUAAUUACCUGGAGUACGCACCAGAUUCCACAAGAGGAAAUUUGGAUACACAAAGAGACACCAGGGAUGCGCAUGCACAGAGGGGAGACCGUGUGAGGAUGCAGAGAGAUGGUGGCCACCUGCAUGCCAAGGAGAGAGACUUCAGAAAAAGCCAAAGUUCCCACCACCUUGAUUCUGAAUGUCAGAACUCUGAGAAAAUAAAUUUCUGUUGUUUAAACCACUGUUUUGUUGUAUUUUGUUAUGGCAGCCCCAGCAAAGAGUGGAUAUCCUUCAAUCUCAUCUUUAGCAGCCAGAGGCAACCCAGGGCCUGGCAUACAUGAGAUCUGCUCAGUCCAACCCCAGCACCACUGGCCACAUGUGGCUAUUGUGCACUUGACAUUAGGCUAAU